GUGAGGAAUAUUGGACAAUGGAUGGAAAUCUGAUCCAGCCAUGCCGCGUGCAGGAAGACGGCCCUAUGGGUUGUAAACUGCUUUUAUACGGGAGCAAUAAGGUCUAUGCAUAGAUUGAUGAGAGUACCGUAUGAAUAAGCAUCGGCUAACUCCGUGCCAGCAGCCGCGGUAAUACGGAGGAUGCGAGCGUUAUCCGGAUUUAUUGGGUUUAAAGGGUGCGUAGGCGGCUUUGUAAGUCAGCGGUGAAAUUUUGCAGCUUAACUGUAAAAGCGCCGUUGAUACUGUGAAGCUAGGAUUUGGUUGCUGUGGGCGGAAUGUGUGGUGUAGCGGUGAAAUGCAUAGAGAUCACACAGAAUAUCGAUUGCGAAGGCAGCUCACAAAGCCAAUAUUGACGCUGAGGCACGAAAGUGUGGGGAUCAAACAGGAUUAGAAACCCGGUAGUCC
rnacentral:rRNA from 1 species